UGUCCAGGGAUGGGAAUCGAACCCACAAUGUUCCGCUUACCGGGCAGAUGCCAUGUCCUCUAGGUACCCUGGAC